rnacentral:rRNA from 1 species
AGAGUUUGAUCCUGGCUCAGAAUGAACGCUGGCGGCGUGCUUAACACAUGCAAGUCGAACGAUGAAGCCUAGCUUGCUAGGUGGAUUAGUGGCGCACGGGUGAGUAAUAUAUAGGUAACGUGCCUCUUAGUCUGGGAUAGCCAUUGGAAACGAUGAUUAAUACUGGAUACUCCUUCUAACUCUAAUGUUAGUCGGGAAAGUUUUUCGCUAAGAGAUCGGCCUAUUUCCCAUCAGCUUGUUGGUAGUGUAAGAGACUACCAAGGCUAUGACGGGUAGCGGGUUUGAGAGGAUGAUCCGCCACACUGGUACUGAGACACGGACCAGACUCCUACGGGAGGCAGCAGUGGGGAAUAUUGCACAAUGGAGGAAACUCUGAUGCAGCAACGCCGCGUGGAGGAUGACGCAUUUCGGUGUGUAAACUCCUUUUAUAUGGGAAGAUAAUGACGGUAUCUGUUGAAUAAGCGCCGGCUAACUCCGUGCCAGCAGCCGCGGUAAUACGGGGGGCGCAAGCGUUAUUCGGAAUCACUGGGCGUAAAGGGUGCGUAGGCGUUUUGAUAAGUCGGCCUGUGAAAGCCUGUGGCUCAACCAUGGAACUGCAGACGAAACUGUCAAAAUAGAGUAUGGAAGAGGUAAGUGGAAUUUCUAGUGUAGGGGUAAAAUCCGUAGAUAUUAGAAGGAAUACCAAUGGCGAAGGCAACUUACUGGGACAUUACUGACGCUGAGGCACGAAAGCGUGGGGAGCAAACAGGAUUAGAUACCCUGGUAGUCCACGCCCUAAACGAUGAACACUAGUUGUCGGAAAGCUCGACUUUUCGGUAAUGCACCUAACGGAUUAAGUGUUCCGCCUGGGGAGUACGGUCGCAAGAUUAAAACUCAAAGGAAUAGACGGGGACCCGCACAAGUGGUGGAGCAUGUGGUUUAAUUCGAAGAUACGCGAAGAACCUUACCUAGCCUUGACAUAUUUUAGAACACUUUAGAGAUAGAGUGGUGCCUUCGGGAGCUAAUUUACAGGUGCUGCACGGCUGUCGUCAGCUCGUGUCGUGAGAUGUUGGGUUAAGUCCCGCAACGAGCGCAACCCUCGUCACUAGUUACUAACGGUUCGGCCGAGGACUCUAGUGAGACUGCCUUCGUAAGGAGGAGGAAGGUGAGGACGACGUCAAGUCAUCAUGGCCCUUACGGCUAGGGCAACACACGUGCUACAAUGGUUGGGACAAUGAGACGCAAUACCGCGAGGUGGAGCAAAUCUAUAAACCCAAUCUCAGUUCGGAUUGUUCUCUGCAACUCGAGAACAUGAAGCUGGAAUCACUAGUAAUCGUAGAUCAGCUAUGCUACGGUGAAUACGUUCCCGGGUCUUGUACUCACCGCCCGUCACACCAUGGGAGUUGAUUUCACCCGAAGCGGGGAAGCUAAACUGGCUACCCUCCACGGUGGAAUUAGCGACUGGGGUGAAGUCGUAACAAGGUAACC